UCACUUGAUUCAAAGUGUCGUCCUCUUGUUGCGAUUUUCUCCAUUCCUCCUGGUUAUUAUCGAGAGAAAUCUUCCGUACUAUAAGAGAGGGGUCACGAUUUUUCUCUAAUCGUGCACACUGUUUACACUCAGGCAUUUUCUCGCAUGGUCUCCGUGAGAGAGCAUCGGUGUUUCCAUGAUGAAUUCCUGCUCGAUGACGAAUGUCAAAAUCGUACUGACCGAGCCUUUCUAACCAUCUAGCUACCUGACCUUCGGGAGAUUUGAACGAAAGUAGCCACCUGAGAGAAGCAUGAUCUGUGGCGUGCCUGCUGAAUUCCAAUACGAAAAAUUAGUAGAGGAAUAUGAUAGAGCGCAAUUAACCAAGAGCUCAGUAUUGAUGCAAAGGUCAGUAAUUGCAGUCUACUUUAUAUUCUACUGUGCAUGCACCGAUAAGCCGGGAGACAAGUGCCGAACCACACACUGGAAGCAUGCCUCAAGCCCCAGGUGGCUCAAGAUAGGAUAAGGCUCCUAUCACUGGUGCACGCCCCAUAAAGGAUGGUGCCACAGGACUAGUCGAACAACCAAGUGAAAAUAACCCCGCCUAUUCCUGAAAGAGAUGCAUCCGUAUUUAAAAUAAAAGGAAUUUCG
rnacentral:lncRNA from 1 species